rnacentral:lncRNA from 10 species
UCUGGAAUUGGUUGCAUAUGAAAGAGGAAGAAUAUGAAGGAUCACGGAGGGAGUUUUUACGUGCCAGACCUAGAUAUAAUGUGUAUCAUUCCUACCUGCAUUUCAUCACCUGGAAACCAAUUUCAUGGCAGCAUGCAAUUGGAUAUUUCCAGUGAAAGAAAGAAGAAAGCAUGCUUUUCUCUUGACUGUGCAGAAAAAAAAACUAUGUUUCUUUGAUUCUCCAUUUUACUAGAUGCCAUACCUUUGCAAUUACUUCAUGUGGAGUCUUGACCAAGAUUCAGGAAAUACUAGAACUUUCAGUCCCAGAAGGUUACUCUGGGCAUUACUAGUCCCCAUCAUUAUGAGUUGAGUUUUACUAGUUAAUUUCAGACGAAAAAUAUUUGUUUUUCCCCAAAUUCUGGGGUUACGUACUUUUACUACCUAUGAACUGACAACUGUAUCUUCAGUAAUUACAAUUUCCAACAAAAUGUUAUAGGAAUAAAGAAAAGAUGUUAGUUCAUUA